CACAGCAAGUCGUUACUCGUCCUGAAUGCACAACAUUCUUUCUUUGAGUAAGAGGACAAACCUGGGUAGGGAUCUCUGUGAUCUUUUCUGCGUUGCCUGCAGACGUUCAUCUUUCUGAUUUGUUAGCUGAAGAUGAGGAUCUGGAGCAGGAGUUCGGAGUGCCAUUGUUCCACGGGCAGAAGUUCGGCAGAGACUAUGGAGUCUUGCUCUCGUCACCCAAGUUGGAUUGCAGCAGUGCCAUCUCAGCUUACUGCAACCUCUGCCUCCUGGGUUCAAGCUAUUCUCCUGUCUCGGCCUCCUGAGUAGCUGGGAUUACAGGUGCUCGCCAACACGCCAGAUAACUACAGGCUUGGGUUUGAGUCUUGACAUCGCCAUCCACCAGCUGUUCUUGGGUGGGCUGCCUCAAUCUGAGCUGGAGUUCUCCAACCUAUUCAGGGAACACAAUACCUUGUAGACUACUGGGAGGGUUAACAUGGACAUGUAUGAAACACCUGGUCAGAUGGCCAGUACACGGUGCACAGCAGAUACUCAAUAAUUCAAGUGCGACACUUUGCCAAGAAAUAAGACUGAAGCAUUCUACAUUUAACAGAUUGGACCCCUUGGAAACUGUGCCACCCAAAGCCAGCUUUCUCCUCCUUUAUUUUGUGAUACGGAAAACUGUGUCAUGUCCUGAGAGUUAUUCCUGCAUCCCCAGCUGGACUUGAUCCUGCCCACAACUCUCUCAUCCUGUCCGGCAUUGCUGCAGAGUGUCUCAAGGUUGAGAUUCCACAUGUGUGUCUUCACCCUCUGUUCACAGGCCGCACACCCAGUAAGGGAAAGUGAGGCAGACAGGCUGUGAACCUGGGGAUGCCACCAAAACCAGGUCACAGACCAAGUCACCCUUCAGACAGGCAGUAAAGAGUUGGCUCCACUGUGUGCCUUUCCUGCUGUGGGGCGCAAAUCCCAUGACCUUUGGAAAUACCCAACUUUGCAAAUUCAACUGUAAUAGAUAAUUUCCCUCUAAAAUGCAAUAAAGUAUGACUGAAAAUGUAACUGGCCUCCUCGCAUCAUUAAUGCUAUUAUGCAAAAGGAAUUAGGAAAUUUACAAGCUCUGAAAAUACAGUCCAACCAGAGCACUUGCCAGAGGCGUUCACAAUUCACUAUUGCUUGUUUGUGUGCACAUCUUGCCAUGCGACCACCCAAGCCAUAUGCUGGAAUCACGGCCCAUCUUAGGAGCUCAUUGUUCAGCUUUUCCGGAUGCUCUUCAUUCUGUCUAAACUGGAAUAUUACUAUAAGUUUAGAGUAGAAAAAUGUGAUUAUUUUAUAAUAAUGAGCUCAAUCGUCUCAUCGUUGUCCAGUGGCUUCAUGGCCCCGGGAGCGGCACAGGGACGGGGUGCAGGAGAAGCACUGACGGCUGUCACACCUCCCAUGCAGAUGGGCUUCACGGUUCUCCAGAAACCUCUUCUCUCCCAGACUUUCGGGAUAAAGCACCUUCUGGGCUCAUGUAGGGCCCUGCACUUUCACUCUGGGGGCCCUGACAAAUACAAACAGAAUUCAGGCCAAGCCUACUGCUGUUAGAAAACAUAUUUAGAAAUCACUUGGAUCUUCCCUGCCUGAACAUCAUAUAUUUAGUUACCUUGUGUGUUUAGAUGAAGAGUGCUUCAGAUCUCCAAAAAAAAAAGGAUUUUAUUUGAAAGCUUGUUUUCUGCUUAUUUACAGUAUUAAUUUAGAGUCCGGGGGAAUCUCUAAAUUUGCCUCUAGAAACCACAUAAUCACCUAAUAAUACCUUUCCUGACUCUACUUUCUGACACAAGUGACUUUUGAAACACUUCCAUCUUCCCUUUCUAUUUCAUGUGCUGCACUCCACUCUUUUUCCCUUACUUUUUUUUUACAGUCCGUCAUGGAGUAUUUGUUUACCAAAUGUUACUUUUCUUGGAUCCAAUCUAUUUUUGAAGAGUGCAAAAGCAAACAACUGUUUGAAGAUGUCAAGCUUCAUUUUAUUUAUGCAUGAAUAACACAAAUAACUUGAAAAUGACCUAGUCUGUUUUUCUCAGAUUUAGAUAGAAAAACUGCUUCCGGCCAAUGUUUAUGCCAAUUUGUUCAUGCCAAGUUUCCAGUUUCGGUGCCAACUGGUUUUUACGGCCAAGUUGUAAACCUUCGGUAAACAUGGCUUAUAAUGAAAAGUGCAACACAGCCUGAACCCUGGCACCAGGGGACGGAUGUAAAUUUAUUCUAAGAACAAAAUUCUAACAGGAACAGAAGGGGAGCUAGGCUGGCUACAAAGUGUUCCCACCAUAAUAUGGAAAGCAUACAGAUGAUGAUAAAUUUGAUUACUAAGAACCCAUUAGGCCCACUUAGGCACUUUAUGUAUUUCUUUUGCUCUGGAUGCUGAGUCGUUUCAUGCUCAGUUUGAAGUGACUGGCUCAUUGUCUCAGGGUGGUUCUAGAACUUUGCCUUCAGGUGGGGCUGGGGAGGGAGCCCUGGCAUUUCAAGACAGGUGGAGGUGAUAUGGUUGGGCUCUGUGUCCCCACCCAAAUCUCAUGUUGAAAUGUAAUCCCCAAUGCUGGAGGUGGGCCUGGUGGGAGGUGACGGGGUCAUGGGAUGGCUUCUUAUGGUCUAACACCACCCGCUGGGUGCUGUCAUCCCUGUCGUGAAUUCUUGUGGAGGUGGUUUCUUGUGGUUUAACACCAUCCCCCUCGGUGCUGUCAUCCCUGUUGUGAGUUCUUGUGAGAUCUGGUUGUUUAAAAAUGUGUGGUACCUCCCCCGUUGCUCUCUCUUCCUCCUGCUCC